rnacentral:rRNA from 1 species
UAAACGUCCCAGUUCGGAUUGUAGUCUGCAACCCGACUACAUGAAGCUGGAAUCGCUAGUAAUCGCGAAUCAGAAUGUCGCGGUGAAUACGUUCCCGGGUCUUGUACACACCGCCCGUCACACCAUGGGAGUCGGAAAUGCCCGAAGUCAGUGACCCAACCGUAAGGAGGGAGCUGCCGAAGGUGGAGCCGGUAACUGGGGUGAAGUCGUAACAAGGUAAC